rnacentral:rRNA from 1 species
CAAUGGGCGAAAGCCUGAUGCAGCGACGCCGCGUGGGGGAUGAAGGCCUUAGGGUCGUAAACCCCUUUCAGUGGGGAAGAAAUUGACGGUACCCACAGAAGAAGCCCCGGCCAACUACGUGCCAGCAGCCGCGGUAAGACGUAGGGGGCGAGCGUUGUCCGGAUUUAUUGGGUGUAAAGAGCUCGUAGGCGGUUUGCGUAAGUCGGAUGUGCAAACUCAGGGCUCAACCCUGAGACGCCAUCCGAUACUGCGCUGACUUGAGUCCGGUAGAGGAGUGUGGAAUUCCUAGUGUAGCGGUGAAAUGCGCAGAUAUUAGGAGGAACACCAAUUGCGAAGGCAGCACUCUGGGCCGGCACUGACGCUGAGGAGCGAAAGCGUGGGUAGCAAACAGGAUUAGAUACCCUGGUUGUCCACGCCGUAAACGGUGGGCACUAGGUGUGGGGUCUUUCAGCGGAUUCCGUGCCGAAGCUAACGCAUUAAGUGCCCCGCCUGGGGAGUACGGCCGCAAGGCUA